UACGUAGGGUGCGAGCGUUGUCCGGAAUUAUUGGGCGUAAAGAGCUCGUAGGCGGUUUGUCGCGUCUGCCGUGAAAGUCCGGGGCUCAACUCCGGAUCUGCGGUGGGUACGGGCAGACUAGAGUGAUGUAGGGGAGACUGGAAUUCCUGGUGUAGCGGUGAAAUGCGCAGAUAUCAGGAGGAACACCGAUGGCGAAGGCAGGUCUCUGGGCAUUAACUGACGCUGAGGAGCGAAAGCGUGGGUAGCAAACAGG
rnacentral:rRNA from 1 species